rnacentral:rRNA from 1 species
UACAGAGGGGGCCAGCGUUAUUCGGAAUUAUUGGGCGUCAAGGGCGCGUAGGCGGCUUUGCGUGUCUUUCGUGAAAUCCCUCGGCUCAACUGAGGACGUGCGGAAGAAACUGCAGGGCUGGAGUCCGGGAGAGGAGGGUGGCAUUCCCAGUGUAGCGGUGAAAUGCGUAGAUAUUGGGAGGAACACCGGUGGCGAAGGCGGCCCUCUGGACCGGUACUGACGCUGAUGCGCGAAAGCGUGGGGAGCAAACGGG